rnacentral:rRNA from 1 species
AUUUCCCUCUGGCGGCAGGCCUAACACAUGCAAGUCGAGCGGAUGAAGGGAGCUUGCUCCUGGAUUCAGCGGCGGACGGGUGAGUAAUGCCUAGGAAUCUGCCUGGUAGUGGGGGAUAACGUCCGGAAACGGGCGCUAAUACCGCAUACGUCCUGAGGGAGAAAGAGGGGGAUCUUCGGACCUUUCGCUAUCAGAUGAGCCUAGGUCGGAUUAGCUAGUUUGUGGGGUAAAGGCCUACCAAGGCGACGAUCCGUAACUGGUCUGAGAGGAUGAUCAGUCACACUGGAACGUGGACACGGACCAGGCUCCUACGGGAGGCAGCAGUGGGGAAUAUUGGACAGUAGGCGAAAGCCUGAUCCAGCCAUGCCGCGUGUGUGAAGAAGGUCUUCGGAUUGUAAAGCACUUUAAGUUGGGAGGAAGGGCAGUAAGUUAAUACCUUGCUGUUUUGACGUUACCAACAGAAUAAGCACCGGCUAACUUCGUG